rnacentral:rRNA from 1 species
AUACGUAGGUGACAAGCGUUAUCCGGAUUUAUUGGGCGUAAAGGGUGCGUAGGCGGCCUUGUAAGUCAGAUGUGAAAGAUCAUGGCUUAACUGUGGUAAGCAUUUGAAACUGCAGGGCUUGAGUACAGGAGAGGAGAGUGGAAUUCCUAGUGUAGCGGUGAAAUGCGUAGAUAUUAGGAGGAAUACCAGUGGCGAAGGCGACUCUCUGGACUGAUACUGACGCUGAGGCACGAAAGCGUGGGGAGCAAACAGGAUUAGAUACCCUGGUAGUCCACGCUAUAAACGAUGAGUGCUAGGUGUCGGGGGUCAAACCUCGGUGCCGCAGUUAACACAUUAAGCACUCCGCCUGGGGAGUACGGCCGCAAGGCUGAAACUCAAAGGAAUUGGCGGGG